rnacentral:tRNA from 1 species
CAUGCCUCCUAUGAAUAAGAACAUACUUUGUUGACUUUCUUACAAAUGUUUAUCAUUGUU